GAUGAACGCUGGCGGCGUGCCUAAUACAUGCAAGUCGAGCGAACAGACGAGGAGCUUGCUCCUCUGACGUUAGCGGCGGACGGGUGAGUAACACGUGGAUAACCUACCUAUAAGACUGGGAUAACUUCGGGAAACCGGAGCUAAUACCGGAGAAUAUAUUGAACCGCAUGGUUCAAUAGUGAAAGACGGUUUUGCUGUCACUUAUAGAUGGAUCCGCGCCGCAUUAGCUAGUUGGUAAGGUAACGGCUUACCAAGGCAACGAUGCGUAGCCGACCUGAGAGGGUGAUAGGCCACACGGGAAGUGAGACACGGUCCAGACUCCUACGGGAGGCAGCAGUAGGGAAUCUUACGCAAAGGGCGAAAGCCUGACGGAGCAACGCCGCGUGAGUGAUGAAGGUCUUCGGAUCGUAAAACUCUGUUAUUAGGGAAGAACAAAUGUGUAAGUAAAUAUGCACGUCUUGACGGUACCUAAUCAGAAAGCCACGGCUAACUACGUG
rnacentral:rRNA from 1 species